rnacentral:rRNA from 1 species
GGUUAAGCGACUAAGCGUACACGGUGGAUGCCCUGGCAGUCAGAGGCGAUGAAGGGCGUGCUAAUCUGCGAUAAGCGCCGGUAAGGUGAUAUGAACCGUUAUAACCGGCGAUACCCGAAUGGGGAAACCCAGUGUGACUCGUCACACUAUCAUUAACUGAAUCCAUAGGUUAAUGAGGCGAACCGGGGGAACUGAAACAUCUAAGUACCCCGAGGAAAAGAAAUCAACCGAGAUUCCCCCAGUAGCGGCGAGCGAACGGGGAGGAGCCCAGAGCCUGAAUCAGCAUGUGUGUUAGUGGAAGCGUCUGGAAAGGCGCGCGAUACAGGGUGACAGCCCCGUACACAAAAGCGCAUGUGCUGUGAGCUCGAUGAGUAGGGCGGGACACGUGGUAUCCUGUCUGAAUAUGGGGGGACCAUCCUCCAAGGCUAAAUACUCCUGACUGACCGAUAGUGAACCAGUACCGUGAGGGAAAGGCGAAAAGAACCCCGGCGAGGGGAGUGAAAAAGAACCUGAAACCGUGUACGUACAAGCAGUGGGAGCACCCUUUGGGUGUGACUGCGUACCUUUUGUAUAAUGGGUCAGCGACUUAUAUUCUGUAGCAAGGUUAACCGAAUAGGGGAGCCGGAGGGAAACCGAGUCUUAACCGGGCGUUAAGUUGCAGGGUAUAGACCCGAAACCCGGUGAUCUAGCCAUGGGCAGGUUGAAGGUUGGGUAACACUAACUGGAGGACCGAACCGACUAAUGUUGAAAAAUUAGCGGAUGACCUGUGGCUGGGGGUGAAAGGCCAAUCAAACCGGGAGAUAGCUGGUUCUCCCCGAAAGCUAUUUAGGUAGCGCCUCGUGAAUUCAUCUCCGGGGGUAGAGCACUGUUUCGGCUAGGGGGCCAUCCCGGCUUACCAACCCGAUGCAAACUGCGAAUACCGGAGAAUGUUAUCACGGGAGACACACGGCGGGUGCUAACGUCCGUCGUGAAGAGGGAAACAACCCAGACCGCCAGCUAAGGUCCCAAAGUCAUGGUUAAGUGGGAAACGAUGUGGGAAGGCCCAGACAGCCAGGAUGUUGGCUUAGAAGCAGCCAUCAUUUAAAGAAAGCGUAAUAGCUCACUGGUCGAGUCGGCCUGCGCGGAAGAUGUAACGGGGCUAAACCAUGCACCGAAGCUGCGGCAGCGACACUGUGUGUUGUUGGGUAGGGGAGCGUUCUGUAAGCCUGCGAAGGUGGCCUGUGAGGGUUGCUGGAGGUAUCAGAAGUGCGAAUGCUGACAUAAGUAACGAUAAAGCGGGUGAAAAGCCCGCUCGCCGGAAGACCAAGGGUUCCUGUCCAACGUUAAUCGGGGCAGGGUGAGUCGACCCCUAAGGCGAGGCCGAAAGGCGUAGUCGAUGGGAAACGGGUUAAUAUUCCCGUACUUGGUGUUACUGCGAAGGGGGGACGGAGAAGGCUAUGUUGGCCGGGCGACGGUU